rnacentral:rRNA from 1 species
UUUUACCCCUUAAAUCGGAAAAUACUGGGCGUAAGCGCACGCAGGCGGUUUGUUAAGUCAGAUGUGAAAUCCCCGGGCUCAAACUGGGAACUGCAUCUGAUACUGGCAAGCUUGAGUUUCGUAGAGGGGGGUAGAAUUCCAGGUGUAG